GUGGGGAAUUUUUCGCAAUGGGGGAAACCCUGACGAAGCAACGCCGCGUGGAGGAUGAAGGUCUUCGGAUCGUAAACUCCUGUCGACCGGGACGAAAGCAACCUGGGCCAAUACCCCGGGCUGUUGACUGUACCGGUGGAGGAAGCCACGGCUAACUCUGUGCCAGCAGCCGCGGUAAUACAGAGGUGGCAAGCGUUGUUCGGAAUUACUGGGCGUAAAGGGCGCGUAGGCGGUCGGGUCAGUCUCGUGUGAAAUCCCUCAGCUCAACUGAGGAACUGCACGGGAAACUGCCUGGCUUGAGUUCGGGAGAGGGAAGCGGAAUUCCGGGUGUAGCGGUGAAAUGCGUAGAUAUCCGGAGGAACACCGGUGGCGAAGGCGGCUUCCUGGACCGAAACUGACGCUGAGGCGCGAAAGCUAGGGGAGCAAACGGGAUUAGAUACCCGAGUAGUCC
rnacentral:rRNA from 1 species